GGUAAAGUGGCUGAGAUGAUAGGCGAUAGAUUGUAAAUCUAUUUAUGGUUAAUGACAAACCCUUUAUCA
rnacentral:tRNA from 1 species